CAAACGAUUAGGCUAAUCGGCCUUGAUGAUGGGAAGGGACUAAGUUGGAUGAGAAGGGCUAAACAUCUCCGUGCUCACAGCUGGAAGAACGUGAGCACGCAGAAAGAUCCAUCAUGAUUGAAAACAGAUGAUGACAUGUCAGGCUAACAAAUGUGGUACCAACAGAUGUAAAAGGGAAGAAAAAGAAGAAUUUUGAGUUUCUCACUGAUAACAGAGCCGGUACAGAAAAUUUCAAGAACUUUCAAAGUUUCCUCAAGUUGAAUGUCAGAAAAGGAUGAAACAGUGGGAUGAAGCUGGCUGAAGGGCCACAACUAAGGCCAAGUGUUACCUCUGAUGAGGAGAAGUAAACACCUCAGAUUACAGCCCAAAUCAGCUUUUCACAGUUAAAGUAGUCGACACAUUAACUGUUCAGAGGAGACUGCACGGAUCGGGCCUUCAUGGCUGAAAGACACCACUGCUGAGGAAGAACAAAGAAACUGGAGUGGACAUCUGUGCAGGGGAAACAUGCACUUUGCUCUUUUGGUCUAAUUUGAGACUUCAUGUUACAGAUGCUGUGUCUUUGUGAGACGUGGUGAAGGUUAACUUUUGAAUAUGUAGAAGCAUGAGGAGCUGUGACUGUUGGUUAAGAACAAUUUAAGGCAGCAUUUAACCAGUAUGUCUUCCACAGCACCCCUUAGGGAUGCACAAUCCCAUCUAGUCUGAGCUUAAUGGGACCAUCAUUAGUUUUCCAGCACUAAAUCAACUUUCAAGGCUCUGUUAUGGCUAUUUGUGUAAGAAGCAGAGUAUUGAGGGCUGCAUGAGAUGACAAGGCCUCCAGGAUUACCCAGCCUGAAUCUAAGUGAGAUAGUUUGGUCAAGAGUAUUAAGUCAUUAUUAUGAGUGAAGCACCAAAAUUUGGGAAGUAUUAUACUGCUUUAACUAAAUUUAUAAAGCAAAAAAAUUACAUGUCCAAAGUGAUACUUUCUUAUUUGAACUACAGUUUGGGAUUAUUUAAAAUCAAUUUGAAAGACUGAAAGAAAAAAGUAAUAAAUCCUCAAACAGUGAUGUGAAAAAAUGUAAUUUAAAAAGUAAGUACAUCGCGUGAUUUAGCAGCGAGUGGAACCACCUUCAGCAGCAACAACUUGAGGUUAUUGUUUUCUGUGUGAUUUCAUCGGUCUCUUACAUUAUUGUGCAGGAAUUUUGACCCACUCUUCUUUACUACAUUGUUUCGGUUCAUUGAGGUUUGUGGGCAUUCGCCUAUUUA